rnacentral:rRNA from 1 species
UGCGUAGGCGGAUUAAUAAGUCAGUGGUGAAAUCUCUCGGCUCAACCGGGAAACUGCCAUUGAUACUGUUAAUCUUGAGUUCGGUUGAGGUAGGCGGAAUGUGUAAUGUAGCGGUGAAAUGCUUAGAUAUUACACAGAACACCAAUUGCGUAGGCAGCUUACUAGACCGACACUGACGCCGAGGCACGAAAGCGUGGGUAGCGAACAGGAUUAGAUACCCUGGUAGUCC